CCUAUACAUGUCUGGGUAUCAAAAUUUUCGUAAUUGAAAGACGUAAUUGAUCGCAAUCUAACGAUUGCAUGCAAUAAUGAGGGUGUAAUUGAGUCUUUUAAACAAAAUUAUUGCAUUCGAAUUUAGAGAUAAUUCAGUCAGAAUAUCUUCGUAUACAGCACCACAGCACAUUCUGAUCUUGUAUGUUUCACACCGACUCACUCAAAUUACUCCAGCAACCCCAAUGCGCCGAAGAUCGCGGUUCGUCAUGGUUGUUGCAAUUACGCCUGAAACAGGAAAAGCUGCAAGCAAAAAAGAAGCUGAUGGCGAAGAAGAGCUCCUAGUCCCCAAAGGCAGCAGUAUGCAAUUGCUCUGGAUGGAACAUUCGGCAUUCAAUAAACAGAACAAUCCCAAUAAUUCUAAACUUUUC